rnacentral:lncRNA from 1 species
UGACAUCAUGAUACUAUAUUCAUAUGUAAAUGAUGGAAAUAGCAAGUUAUCGAAACAAGUUAUAGUGUUAUAUAUUUUGGAACUAUAAAUUUAAUAACUAGAGAAAAAUAUUCUAUGAUCUAAAUAUACCUAUACAUAUAUGUAUUGGAUGAUGGUACAAGUUGCUCCAAUCAAGUCUAAAAAAUCGGAACAACGAGUUAUUGCUAACCCACAGCAAGAAGCUACC